rnacentral:tRNA from 1 species
GCUGGUGUAGCUCAGUGGUAGAGCAGCGGUUUUGUAAACCGCCGGCCGCAGGUUCAAAUCCUGUCACCAGCU